CUGGGCUGCAGGAUGCCUCCUGAGAGGGUGGACUACUCUGCUGGAUGGCUUUCCUUUGCCAACCCACUCCUUCCCAGUUGUGCCUCUGUGGACACCGACUUCUGUAGCCCUGUGAUGAACAACUCCAGCAGCCAGGCUCGAUCUGUUUUUACCUCUGUGUGAGAUCUCCCUGCUUUCCUCCAGCUAUCAGGUUCACGAAGAGGCUCCUCCCCUCGCACAUCUUCCUCGGGUCCGUUCUGUUUCCAUGGGAUUUGGGCUGGAUUCAGGAUGAGCACGGAUGAGGAGGAAAAGCCACAGGAAGAGUAAAAAUACCUGGCACUUGACUUCUUCAGACACAGUCUGGAAGAUGUUGUCUUUUCCAUCAACACCCAUGAUCUUAGAAAUAAUGGUUCCUAGUUUACUGAUUUUUCUAAAGUCACUCAGAAUUGGGAGGAGAAAUCAAAAUUUUCUCAUCUCUAAGCAGCUUGACUCAUCAUAACUCCAACCCCUAAAAGGAGUUUGUUCUUGAUGUUGGAAACCAUCUGCAGCUCUGGACCCAGUCUUCCUCAUUCAGUAAUACCAAGUAGAAGUGUGUCCACUGGUCUUAAACCUCUGUCUUCCGUGACCAUUAAACUAUAAACCACAAAAGGAUUCACAGACUUCUCUUCAUUCCCAGAAUUAAGAAAUCCCACUGAGAUCUGGGAUUCAAGGGCACCUCUUGAUUAAAUUUGUCAUUCAAUUGGCUUCCUAUGAAGCUCAAGACUGAAGAAGUUUUUUUCUAUUUGCAAGUAAAGAAAUCAAUAUUUUCAUAA
rnacentral:lncRNA from 1 species